rnacentral:lncRNA from 10 species
CCGCUCCCGCUUCUCCCACCACACUUCCCUGCAAGCUGAGAGAAGCGGCUCUGGCCUUGGGCAGCCCAGAAAGGGGCUCCCUCAGUGCAGCGGUGGGCUGAAGGGCUCCUCAAGUGCCGCCAAAGUGGGAGCCCAGGCAGAGGAGGCGCCCAGAGCGAGCGAGGGCUGUGAGGACUGCCAGCACGCUGUCACCUCUCAGAACUAUUUACUCAGAAUGAGUGAAGAGACAGUCUUGCUCUGUUGCCCAGGCCGGAGUGGAGUGGCACAGUCAUAAUUCCCUGUACCCUUGAAAUCCUGAGCUCAAGCCAUCUCCAUACCUUAGCCUCCCAAGUGGCUACUACAGGACUGACUGAUAGUAUUUUCCUUUGGAAGAUCCUUUUAUAUUCUGUCUCUAUGAAAGAAGUGUUUUCAAUGAAAUAAGAUGAAGUCAAAGAUACUUGAAGCAGAAGCUGUAUCUGAGGAAGCUGUAUAUAAACCCAAUUUAAAGCAAGUUUAACCUGCUGAUUGGGAAGAAUUUUUAUGAAAAGCUGUGUGCUUCCUGAUAAGAAAAAAGGCUUUCCUGUUUCGAUCAAACCAGAACCAGAUGAGAACUCAGCACAGGCACUGCAGCCACGGAGGUUUCCAGAUAGAAAAAUUGACACCCCUGAGAUCCCAUAACAUUUUGGGGACUCAUCUGGGAUCUGCGGAAGGAGCUUGACUCUUUUCAUUGGCAAUAAAUGGCGCCCCAACAUGGGGACUCAGAGAAGACUCAGGAGCCCCAAGCAGUUGUCCGAAAUCAGAGCUAAGGUACCAGCCAGGGUUAAUUGAAGACUCACCAAGUUCAAGCUUCUCCUUUGGUGGAACUGCUGAGAUUGAAGAACACUUGAAAAUUAUCAAGAAUGUACUGCGGAGUAUUGAAAUUGCAAGUUAUCAUCAAAGGAAGCUGAAUCAUACCUUCCCUGUUUCAAAUAACAAGCAUCAAGCAUCGUGAUAAUGUGGACACUAAGGAGCAACAAUUUCUCUAAAGAUAAGAAUAAAGAUAGACUUUUAGACUACGAGAUGGGCCUGAAAAAAUAUCUGAUCAAGCUACUCAGUUUUACAGAUGAAGAAGGUGAAGCCUGGGAAAACCUAAAGAACCUAUAUAAGGUUCUCAGAUAGACACCAUGUUAUCUGCUUGAAUGAAGAAAAUUUGGUAACAUGUUUGCUGAUCUUAAUCUACUAUACAUUUUUUUAGCUUGUCAACUUGAACAAGUUUCUCAAUUAUUUCCUCAUCUAUUUUUUCUGAUAAACUUAACCAAAUCUUGUAAAAUGAAUGUUUUGAAAACGUAUAUCUUAAAGGAGCAUUUUCUAAUUUAAUAUUGAUGUUUUAUUAUUUAUUGAAUCAAGGAAGUUAUGCAUAUUUUGCAUAAAUAUGUGCUACCUUAUGUAUGAUAAUAUUUUUCUCCACAGUCACAUAUUAAUCUGUCCUGACAUUUUUCUAUAAUAAACAUCAUUAUCUGAGACAGAAAUGACAGGAAAAAUUUAUCCAUUUUAAUGAUAUCUAAUUAAAAUUUGUGUCUAACCUUAAUUGAAAUAUAUAUAUAUAUUUCAGUUAGUAAAAAAGGAAAGUCAAUUGAUGAUGCAUUAAGUGUCAGCAUUAUUACAUAGAGAUUGGAAGACAUUAGGUACAAAUGUGAAUCUGCAAGAGUACCAUUUGUAUAUUGCUAAUUACUUGAUACUGUGUCUUUUUAAGAAAGCUGUUACUCUUUAUUCACUCUAGAGCAUUUCAGACAAUUAAUUAGGCAUUCAUUAAUAGAUGAUUAAACAUUUUGUCUCUACAUUGCUUGAAAGGAGUUGUAAAUUACAUCUUGCCCAUGUUGCUAAUUUGCUGUCCAGCAAACAGACUUGCCUGUGGAAAUUUUGUAAAUCAAGCUUAUGAUAUAUUGGCCAUAGAUUGUUUGUCUUCCAAUUCCUCUUAGCUGUUGAUAAUGCAAAUCAAGCCACAUGAAUGAUAACCUGAUAGAAGACACUGCUUUGAAAAGCUAUACUCACAUUAAUACAAACUGUUCAGAAUUGUUAUGUGGAACAUUUCUCUCUAUAAUUGAGAAGAUAAACAUGGCAAAUAAUAUGCUGCUUCAUCAAGUUUUGCAUGUGAAUCAUUCCCAAAGUGAACUUUGAAAAGAGCUCCAUAAAUUCCAUCAGAAAACAAUGAAAUAUAAAACAUCACAGUCCUUUACCAUAGCUAAGCCAGCAAAUAAAUAUCAGGUAUAAAAACUCAUAUUGAUAAAAACCAAACUUUACUUAACGUUACAGAAGUCCAAAUGAUUUUAUCAAGAUAAUAUGUGAUUUAAUAUGUGAAUCUAUAAUAAAGAAUUCUGAGGCUGAGUGUGGUGGCUCAUGUCUGUAAUCCCAGCUCUUUGGGAGACCAAGGCGGGUGGAUCGCCUGACAUUAGGAGUUCGAGACCAACCUGGCCAACAUGGCCAGACCCCAUCUCUACUAAGAAUACAAAAAUUAGCCAGGUUUGGUGGCUCAUGCCUGUAAUCCCAGUUACUCAGGAGGCUGAAGCAUGAGAACUGCUGGAACCUGGAGGCUGCAGUAAGCUGAGAUCGUGCCAUUGCACUCCAGCCUGGGUGACAGAGCAAGACUCAGUCUCAGAAAAAAUAAAUAAAUAAAAAUAAAAAAUAAAAAAAUAAAAUAAAAUUAUGGUCACACAAGUUUCUAGAAAACCAACUUAUUUCUGAGAUAGCCCAGAGGUGACAUACACUGACUAACCCACUGAGAGUAUGUUUUAUUCUUUGCUGAACUACUAGAACCUAGACUAGAGCCUCACAUGCAAAAAGCAUUCAGUAAAAAUUGUGUUUACAGAAAAUUACUAUAGGACAAUAAUUAUGUCUUAUAAGUGGGUUUGUUUAAAGGGUUUAUCAUUUAUUCUAAGUCACACAUUUUACUCAGAAAUACUAGCUUUGUCCUGGAAAGUUCAAUUAAAUAGAGAAAAGGAACAAGAACAUACAUUCAAGCCAAAAUAAGCAAAGCUUUGCCUCAAGAAGGGUUGAUGGAAAAAACAGAAAACAGAAAGCACUACAGUUUAAUGAGUUACAGACUGCUCAGCAGAAAAGACAACAUAGACAUAUAAUACAGGUCUUUCUGCUAAUAUAUUCCUUUCUUUGCUUAAAACUAAGUACAGAUAUUACUUUGGAACCCUUUGAAUGUGGGAAAUUAGUUUCCUCCUCAGCAUUGUCCUCUACUACUUUUCGGAGUAUAAUGUGUAUGACAUUCUCUCAGUAAAAUUUUGAUACACUUGAUAGUUGAAGGUUAAAGAAGAGUAGAAAUCAUCUUAACACCUUACUAAUGGGAAAUUUUUUCAUAGGAAUACACAUAAUUUCCAGAAAGUUACCUUUUUAUAGAGGGCAUCAUGCAUAAUAACACCUUUUGGCUCAAAAUAGAAAUUAUUUUUAAGCUUAUACUUUUGCCAUACGUUAGAGCAACUACUGAUUUAGAUUGUUCUGUUUUACUGUUCUAGAAUCAUUCCACACUUGCCUCUUGGCAUCCAUAAUCAGAAAAGUAAAUCAAGAAAUAAACUAUAAACUGAUCAAUGUUUUAUUAUUUUCCUUAUAGCCUUUUAUUUUACCAUGAGGAGUUUCUGUAUGUAAGGCACUUUAGAAUAUGAAUGAUUUUCAUGGCAUACACAUAAGGGACUAUUAAAAACAACUGACAUGUUUUUGGUAAAGUAUUUGACUGUUUAUUCUUCAUGUAACUGAAAAUAUUCAGCAUUGAAAGAGUUUGCAUUUCAUGAUGGCUACAAAGUUGAAAUUUACAUUCUGGUUUCUUAAAGGCAGGAACUACAUUCUGCAAAGGGCAAAUUUCAAAAGACAAAACUUAAUCCUUAUACUAGCAAAAGUUUGAUUAGAUAAGUUCUACAUACUUAGCUGCUUAUAUAAAUACAGGUGGCUGAGGCUGAAAAUGAAUGCCCCAGGAAGAAGUAAAUCAAUUUUACAAAAAUUAUCAAAUGGCAUAAUGAUGGGCACACAAUGCCCUCCACCCACAGCUGUUCUUGCAUUUCUAACAUAAAAGGCAGCACAAGACAGAAGGGAAACACUGACAAAUAGAUUGGUUCUGCCAUUUCCUUAGCAUUAUGUGCCCUGUCACUUUUUGAAUUUCUUAGAUAAGAUGCAAUUUCUCUUUAGUUUUUAAUGCCCUUUUAGAUAUUUUUUGUUACAGGAUUCGUUACCAUGAAUCCAAGGGACUUUAUUUUGGCACUUUGACAGAAAGGAUUGGACUGCUUAAACAAGAACUAAUAAAUAGCUUCCAUUUCCUACAUGAAAAAAGUAAUACAUGUUUAUGCUGUUUCCUGGAUUGCACAUGUAACUGGCAGCAAGAAACACCCUCGGAAUAGUAAUCAUAAAAUAUCCUUGUUUAUUCCAAAGCAUAACUAUAGAAAUGUGUGACAAUCUGAAUUUCUUUUGUAUGCCAAAAUAUGCUGAGAAAGUACUAAUGAAUGCUGUGCCAUUCUAAUUUUGUAUUAAUGAAAUAAUUUAUUAUUUUUUCAGUUUUAAUUAAAAUUGGCUUUGCAUCAAACUGUGCUUAUCACAUUGAUCACAUGAUAAAAAGGGAAUUUUGUCAUUUAUCAAUAAAAAUGAUUAUGUGUAUUAUCU